rnacentral:rRNA from 1 species
GUGCCAGGCAGCCGCGGUAAUACCGGCAGCCCAAGUGAUGGCCGAUCUUAUUGGGCCUAAAGCGUCCGUAGCUGGCCGCGCAAGUCCGUCGGGAAAUCCACCUGCCCAACAGGUGGGCGUCCGGCGGAAACUGUGUGGCUUGGAACCGGAAGGCUCAGAGGGUACGUCCGGGGUAGGAGUGAAAUCCCGUAAUCCCGGACGGACCACCGAUGGCGAAAGCGCUCUGAGAAGACGGCUUCGACAGUGAGGGACGAAAGCUAGGGUCUCAAACCGGAUUAGAAACCCUGGUAGUCC